rnacentral:rRNA from 1 species
CCUACGGGCGGCAGCAGUGAGGAAUAUUGGUCAAUGGCCGGAAGGCUGAACCAGCCAAGCCGCGUGAGGGAUGAAGGCGCACAGCGUCGCAGACCUCUUUUGCCGGGGGACAAAAGGCCGGACUCGUCCGGUCCUGAGGGUACCCGGAGAAAAAGCAUCGGCUAACUCCGUGCCAGCAGCCGCGGUAAUACGGAGGAUGCGAGCGUUAUCCGGAUUCAUUGGGUUUAAAGGGUGCGCAGGCGGGGCUUUAAGCCGGCGGUGAAAUCGCGGGGCUCAACCCCGCACGGCCGUUGGAACUGGGUGCCUUGAGUGCGGCAGAGGCAUGCGGAAUGCGAGGUGUAGCGGUGAAAUGCAUAGAUAUCGCGCAGAACCCCGAUUGCGAAGGCAGCGUGCCGUGGCGCCACUGACGCUGAGGCACGAAAGCGUGGGGAUCGAACAGGAUUAGAUACCCUAGUAGUC